rnacentral:lncRNA from 1 species
UUAGCAUUGAAGUAGAGCUAUAAACUUGGGCUUCCAGUUUUCAGCCUCACACCAUUCUGCUUACCUACUGUACAGGUACCCAUGAGAAAAGACAGCUGUAUUAGAAGGUACAUAGGUUCUACAAGGUCAAUGUAUGGAGAAAGCAAAGGGAAAUCAUUAAAGUUGUUCCACUGCCCUGGACACUUCCAUUAGACUAGGAUGGCCUGUAUGCUAUUAACUUGAAACUACAUGUGUGAAUUGCCCUGUCCAGGCUCUGUCUUUGAUCAUUGUGUCUGUGACAGGAGGUGUCAAGCAUCUUUCAUGCUACUUUUUUUUUUUUAUUUUUGGUAUCUGGAACUUUUACUAUAUAGCUUCGAGGAAUAACAUCCUGAAAAUUUUGCUUUGCUGGGAGUCACAUCAAAGGAACUUCAAUAAGCCACAGUACAGGAUUUAAAGGGUGGAACCUCAAACACUGUGUAGAAGGGAGGCCAAAAAAAAGCAAAGCAAAUGGGACAAUUCCUUUCCCUUCAUUUUCCUAUAACUUAUCUGACAUUCUAAACCAAAACCAACAUCUGAACCCCAUUGGCUCUUCUUCAUCAACAACAGGAUGACUGAUACUAAGAGGUUGAAGAAAAUUCAUCAAAAUAUAUUCUCUGAAGUUAGAGUUGUCAUGUUGAUUUUGUGUACAAUAGGCAAGAACAUGCAUUACUGAAACUGCUCUUUUUCUCCUUCUCUCAUUCCUUUUUUUUUUUCCCUAUUCGGCACAAGCAGGUUUCAAGCCAGGCAUGUGUUUGCCUAAGAAAUUUGGCUAUCAGUGCGGACAUCCAGGCCGAGAUGGUUGCUGAGAAUGUCCUGUCCAAGCUGUGCUCUCUCCUGGCAUCUGGCAGCGAGGACGUGCGUCGUGCCUCCAUCGCUCUGCUCUGGAUACUGUCCCAGCACCUGCACAACCAGGUAGGGGAGGUCAUUUCCCAAGAAUAGAAGGGAAAGAGUAGUUCUGGCCUGGGGUAACACUCUGUUAUGGCAAAACUGCAUGUGAAAUGGAUUUUGAGAAUGACCAAUAGGCUCUGGGAGACUUCCCAACCCUUCUCUUUC